rnacentral:rRNA from 1 species
AGUGAACGCUGGCGGCAGGCCUAACACAUGCAAGUCGAACGGCAGCACAGGAGAGCUUGCUCUCUGGGUGGCGAGUGGCGGACGGGUGAGGAAUACAUCGGAAUCUACCUUUUCGUGGGGGAUAACGUAGGGAAACUUACGCUAAUACCGCAUACGACCUUAGGGUGAAAGCGGAGGACCUUCGGGCUUCGCGCGGAUAGAUGAGCCGAUGUCGGAUUAGCUAGUUGGCGGGGCAAGGGCCCACCAAGGCGACGAUCCGUAGCUGGUCUGAGAGGAUGGUCAGCCACAUGGGAACUGAGACACGGUCGAGACUCCUACGGGAGGCAGCAGUGGGGAAUAUUGGACAAUGGGCGCAAGCCUGAUCCAGCCAUGCCGCGUGGGUGAAGAAGGCCUUCGGGUUGUAAAGCCCUUUUGUUGGGAAAGAAAAGCAGCCGGUUAAUACCCGGUUGUUCUGACGGUACCCAAAGAAUAAGCACCGGCUAACUUCGUGCCAGCAGCAGCCGCCG